rnacentral:lncRNA from 1 species
UCAUGUUUCACGCAAAAAUAUAUUACUCCAUGCAGUAGCUGCCACCUUAAACUUCAAUUGCUCAAACAUAUUAAUGUGUAAGCAUUAAUGGGAAAUGGGGAAAAAACAUUUGAAAGAACAUUUAAAUUGAUAUAUGAAGAUCCUUGACAAGCUUUUUCUAUAUUUCUUGGUUUUAGAAUUAUUCUGACCAGAAACAUCUUGUUUCUAUAUUUGACCUAAUUAGCUGGGAUUUGGGUGACAUCACAACAGGGUUUAACUAACAAGGGGGAAUUUCGUUCUCAACCAAUCAGCGCAUUUGUUGACAAUUUUGCUCUAAGCCAAUCUGAAUGCGUAAUUGGUUGUUACUGUAGGUAGUUUCCCUGCUAACACCGAAAGCCCACUUCCGAUAAAAACAUACAUUUGAACAGAAAAUUUAGGGCCUUAAAUAAAGCUUCG